CAAAUCGGUGCCAACUGUAUUUUUUUUAAAAAAAAAACAAAAAAGAAUAGAGUUUGCUCUGGUUAACCUGUGCCAACUGAUUAAUUUUUUUUUUUAAAAAAAGAAAAAGAAUAGAGUUCGCACCGGUGCCAACUGAUUAUUUAAAAAAAAAAAAAAAAACGAGUUUAAAACAAAGCUAUAUAUGCCGAGUUUCUGGGUUUUAACAACUUCAUUUCUUCUUCAGUUUAUUUGUCAUUCUCUCUCUUAGCUCUCUGAAAUUCCUUAUCUCUGAAAUCUGAAUGCAUGCAUGCCUCUCUCCUUCAAUUCCUUAUCUCUGAUCUCAUCUCUGUUCUUCUCUCUCCAACCAAGCACAAUAGCCAACACAACAACCAAGCCUCUCUCCGUCAAAUUUGAGAUUUGAAGGACGUGAAUUUGCUGAGUUGAUGUUCGAAGUUUCUGGGUUUUGGAUUGUAAUUUAUUUUUCAUCAAUUUUUCUGUUUUUUUUAAUAAACUGUAAAAAAAACAAUUUAUUUUGAUGAAUAUAGCCUUAGCUUGUUCGAUUUCAAGUUUUGGAUUGAAUGUAUAAAUUGGAUUGAUGAAUAAA